rnacentral:rRNA from 1 species
UGGAAGGCUCUCUCACUCUUAGGUAUGAACAAACUUUCCAAACUUAAUCAGUUUUACAAACAAAGAAGUAAAAAGGGUUGGGCUAUGGCUGGUGAUCGCAAUACUAAAUUUUUUCAUCAGGCCGUGAUCAAAAGAAGAAAAAGGAAUACUAUUUAUUCUGUUAAGGAUGAGAAUGACGUGAUUCAUUUUAAGCCUAGUGCUAUCACUAAUACUUUUGUCAACUAUUUUAGUGACAUUGGAAGACCUUUUCUCAAUACUCACUUGCCUGUCAACUCUUUGGAUCCUACUUAUUUUCUGCCUGAUAAAAAUGAAGUUUUGCAGAUUCUUAAAGAGAUGAAGUUGAACGCUUCUCCAGGUCCGGAUGGUUUUAAUGUGGAAUUUUAUUUGGCUGCUUGGGAUUGGAUAGGGGAGGAGGUCACUCAACUUGUGAUUAACUUUUAUCAAACUGGUAUUUUACCUCCCCACAUUAAUGAUACCAAUAUUGCUUUAAUCCCAAAGAAGUUAGUUCCUCAGGUUCCUAUGGAUUAUCGUCCC